rnacentral:tRNA from 1 species
GCCUUCGUGGUGUAGUGGUCAGCACGCUCGGCGCGUAUACGAGAGGUCCGAGGGUUCGAGUCCCGGCGAGGGCG